UACGGGGGGGGUAAGCGUUGUUCGGAAUCACUGGGCUUAAAGGGUGCGUAGGCGGGCCUGUAAGUGUCCUGUGAAAUCCCCCGGCUCAACCGGGGAACUGCGGGGCAUACUGCGGGUCUUGAGGAAGGUAGGCGCCGAGGGAACAGUAGGUGGAGCGGUGAAAUGCGUAGAUAUCUACUGGAACGCCGAUGGUGAAGACGCUCGGCUGGGCCUUUCCUGACGCUGAGGCACGAAAGCGUGGGGAGCGAACAGG
rnacentral:rRNA from 1 species